rnacentral:rRNA from 1 species
GACGAACGCUGGCGGCGUGCCUAAUACAUGCAAGUAGAACGCACAGUUUAUACCGUAGCUUGCUACACCAUAAACUGUGAGUUGCGAACGGGUGAGUAACGCGUAGGUAACCUGCCUGGUAGCGGGGGAUAACUAUUGGAAACGAUAGCUAAUACCGCAUAAUAUUGAUUAUUGCAUGAUAAUUGAUUGAAAGAUGCUAUUGCAUCACUACCAGAUGGACAUGCGUUGUAUUAGCUAGUAGGUGAGGUAACGGCUCACCUAGGCGACGAUACAUAGCCGACCUGAGAGGGUGAUCGGCCACGCUGGGACUGAGACACGGCCCAGACUCCUACGGGAGGCAGCAGUAGGGAAUCUUCGGCAAUGGACGAAAGUCUGACCGAGCAACGCCGCGUGAGUGAAGAAGGUUUUCGGAUCGUAAAGCUCUGUUGUAAGAGAAGAACGGGUGUGAGAGUGGAAAGUUCACACUGUGACGGUAUCUUACCAGAAAGGGACGGCUAACUACGUG